AGCGUAGGUGGUUCAGCAAGUUGGAGGUGAAAUCCCCGGGCUCAACCUGGGAACUGCCUCCAAAACUACUGAGCUAGAGUACGGUAGAGGGUAGUGGAAUUUCCUGUGUAGCGGUGAAAUGCGUAGAUAUAGGAAGGAACACCAGUGGCGAAGGCGACUACCUGGACUGAUACUGACACUGAGGUGCGAAAGCGUGGGGAGGCAAAACA
rnacentral:rRNA from 1 species